rnacentral:rRNA from 1 species
UACGUAGGGGGCGAGCGUUGUCCGGAAUCAUUGGGCGUAAAGGGCGCGUAGGCGGCUUGGCAAGUGGAUGGUGAAAUCCCUCGGCUUAACCGAGGAACUGCCGUCCAAACUGCUUCGCUUGAGACCGGGAGAGGUGAGUGGAAUUCCCAGUGUAGCGGUGAAAUGCGUAGAUAUUGGGAGGAACACCAGUGGCGAAGGCGGCUCACUGGACCGGUACUGACGCUGAUGCGCGAAAGCGUGGGGAGCAAACGGG